CAGUGUUGCAAUCUCCACUCACUGCAAGCUCCGCCCCCCAGGUUCACACCAUUCUCCUGCCUCAGCCUCCCUAGUAGCUGGGACUACAGGCACACAUCACCACGGGCAGCUAAUUUUUUUUUGUAUUUUUAGUAGAGAUGGGGUUUCACCAUGUUUGCCAGGCUGGUCUCGAUUUCCUGACCUCGUGAUCCACCCACCUUGGCCUCCCAAAGUGCUGGGAUUACAGGCAUGAGCCACCGCGCCAGCCAUUUUUGUAUUUUUUUUUGAAGAGAUGAGGUUUCACCAUGUUGGCCAGGCUGGUCUCAAUCUCCUGACCUCAUGAUCCACCCUCCUUGGCCUCCCAAAGUGCUGGGAUGACAGGCAUGGCCACCGCGCCCAGCCAAGGUGCAUUCUUUUUGCACUCGGUGGGGAGGGUCUGAUUCUAGGCACUUCCCCAACAGUAGGGAACAGAAUUAUUGUGGUUGAAUAGACCAAUUGUGUUCCAUCUACUGAGACUGGCACACUGCCCCUGAAAUCAAGUGGGAUCUCAUUACCAAAGGCAAAAUGAGGAACUGUGUAUCAGUUAGCCUUUGCUGUGUAACAAACCAUCCCAAAAUCUGGCCAGGUCAUGUAUUUGUCCACAAUUCUGUGGGUUGGCAAUCUGCGCUGGGCUCACCUGGGGACCCUCAUGGAGCUGUAGUCAGCUGUCACAUCAGCUGCACCUGGAUGGGCUAGGACAGCCUGACUCACUUGUCUGGCAGGCAACAGGUUGUUGGUCGGGGUGACCUGGUUCUCUUCCAUGUGGCCUGUCUAGCAGGCUGCUUCAGCCUUAGGGCUCCAGGAGAGUGAGAGUGGAAGCUGCAAGAUUUCUUGGGUUCUGGGCCUGGAACUGGGGCUGGGACGUCGAUUCUGCUAAGUUCUUUUGAUCAGAACAAAUCAGAAGGCUUUGCCCUGAUUCAAGGGAUGAGAAAGAGACCACGUCUUGAUGAGAGGAACCACAAAGACUGUGUGGCCAUUUUUCAACCUAAUGCAAAUAACUUUGGGUGGGGAAAUAACCAUAUUUCUGUCUCUCUUAGGGGACCUCACUCUGCCUAGUCUGAAGGUAAAGACACUGUCCUGGCCCUCGGGGUCUGGGGGAAGAGGUGUUGAGGCCGGGUGAGGCCUCUCCAAGGCUGGAUCCACUACAGUAGGGGCACCUUGUUUUCUGCACUGGUGGGAUGGGGUUUUACUGGGCGGGACGUUCCAGAGGGGCUUCUGAAAGCCAAGAGUCCUGGGGGAAAGGGAGGGGUGGAGAAA
rnacentral:lncRNA from 1 species